UUAGAGUUUGAUCCUGGCUCAGGACGAACGCUGGCGGCACGCCUAACACAUGCAAGUCGAACGAAGUAAGAAGCUUGCUUCUUGCUUAGUGGCGGACGGGUGAGUAACACGUGAGCAACCUGCCUUAAAGAGGGGGACAACAGUUGGAAACGACUGCUAAUACCGCAUAAUGUGCGCUGGAAGCAUUUCCUAUGCACCAAAGGAGCAAUCCGCUUUAAGAUGGGCUCGCGCCUGAUUAGAUAGUUGGUGAGGUAACGGCCCACCAAGUCUGCGAUCAGUAGCCGGACUGAGAGGUUGAACGGCCACAUUGGGACUGAGACACGGCCCAGACUCCUACGGGAGGCAGCAGUGGGGGAUAUUGGUCAAUGGGGGAAACCCUGAACCAGCGAUGCCGCGUGAGGGAAGAAGGUUUUCGGAUUGUAAACCUCUGUCAUCGGGGAAGAUAAUGACGGUACCCGAGAAGGAAGCCACGGCUAACUACGUGCCAGCAGCCGCGGUAAUACGUAGGUGGCGAGCGCUGUCCGGAAUUACUGGGUGUAAAGGGAGUGUAGGCGGGACGGCAAGUCAGGUGUGAAAUCUAUGGGCUCAACCCAUAGCGUGCACUUGAAACUGUUGUUCUUGAGUGAAGUAGAGGCAAGCGGAAUUCCUAGUGUAGCGGUGAAAUGCGUAGAUAUUAGGAGGAACACCAGUGGCGAAGGCGGCUUGCUGGGCUUUUACUGACGCUGAGGCUCGAAAGCGUGGGGAGCAAACAGGAUUAGAUACCCUGGUAGUCCACGCCGUAAACGAUGAGUGCUAAGUAUCGGGGGAUUUCGGUGCUUAAGCUAACGCAGUAAGCACUCCGCCUGGGGAGUACGGUCGCAAGACUGAAACUCAAAGGAAUUGACGGGGACUCGCACAAGCGGUGGAGCAUGCGGUUUAAUUCGAUGCAACGCGAAGAGCCUUACCAGGUCUUGACAGUGUAAAGAAUACUUAAGAGAUUAAGGGCUACGAAUUAAGCUUGCUUGAUUUACUUUAUAAACAGGUGGUGCAUGGUUGUCGUCAGCUCGUGUCGUGAGAUGUUGGGUUGAGUCCCGCAACGAGCGCAACCCUUAUCACUAGUUGCCAUCAUUCAGUUGGGCACUCUAGUGAGACUGCCGGUGACAAAUCGGAUGAAGGUGGGGAUGACGUCAAAUCAUCAUGCCCCUUAUGACCUGGGCUACACGCGUGCUACAAUGGCUAAUACAAAGAGUCGCAAAACCGUGAGGUGGAGCUAAUCUCAUAAAGUUAGUCUCAGUUCGGAUUGUAGUCUGCAACUCGACUACAUGAAGUUGGAAUCGCUAGUAAUCGUAAAUCAGAAUGUUACGGUGAAUAAAAGCUCGAGUCUUGUACACACCGCCCGUCA
rnacentral:rRNA from 1 species